AGCCCACUGGUCAAGCGGUUAAGACGCCGCGUUCUCAACGCGUAGUCCUGGGUUCGACUCCCAGGUGGGCCA
rnacentral:tRNA from 1 species